AAGGGUAUUAGAAUUGUUGGAAGUGGGCCUCCGCUAUUAGGCCCAAAGUAGUUCUUUGUUUCUGGUUUGUCUAAGUAACAGCCUUUUAGGGUUAAUUAUCUUUAUUAUCAU